rnacentral:rRNA from 1 species
GACGAACGCUGGCGGCGUGCUUAACACAUGCAAGUCGAACGGAAAGGCCCUGCUUUUGUGGGGUGCUCGAGUGGCGAACGGGUGAGUAACACGUGAGUAACCUGCCCUUGACUUUGGGAUAACUUCAGGAAACUGGGGCUAAUACCGGAUAGCAGCUCCUGCUGCAUGGUGGGGGUUGGAAAGUUUCGGCGGUUGGGGAUGGACUCGCGGCUUAUCGGCUUGUUGGUGGGGUAGUGGCUUGCCAAGGCAUUGACGGGUAGCCGGCCUGAGAGGGUGAGAGGCGACAUUGGGACUGAGAGACGGCACAGGCUCCUACGGGAGGCAGCAGUGGGGAAGAUUGCACAAGGGGCGGAGGGCGGAUGCAGCAACGCCGCGUGUGGGAUGGCGGCCUUCGGGGUGUAGACCGCCUGCGGCUGUGACGAAGCGUGAGUGACGGGAAUGGGUAGAGAAGGACCGGGUAACUACGUG